AUUUUCCCUGUCCCAAAUCUGGGUCCUUUUCAUGUCGAUCUGUAAGUAAAUUAAGUAUUUGGAAGAUGUGCAAUGCUGGAUGGAGAAAUAUGCCAAGUGAGCCUCUUGCACAAAAUGCUCGCACAAGGAGAACCCGGGAGCAAAAGAAGCUAGGAAGGAGAAGGAAACCUUUUCCCGGUGCUCUUCAGUGUUGUGGAGCACUGAGAACAAAGAAAGCAACUUGCUUAUUGUUUCUGGAAACCCGAGGAUGAAAGAAGCCACCUUUGUCUGUUGUUGAUAAGUAGAAACCGCUAGGGGAGUCUGAACACAAAAGUCAAGUCACUGUUUGCUCUAGUAUGCAAGCAGGUAAAAGGACCUUAUUGUCUUCCUCACAGAGCACUGCACUAAGUUUGAGUACCGAUUUGCCACGUGAAACAGGCAACCUUUCCACAGCCUCCGAACUCCUUGCUCUGCCAAAGCCCGUGAGAGAAACGACAAGCACUUUCCCCCAUGUCAGCCAGGCAGCCUGCUGCCACCGACACAUUUCCCGUCUACCCUACCAGCUCAAUGACAGCAAACUCAGAGGAAAGGAGCCUCGGAAAAUGGCUCCAGGACAAAUCUGACGUCAUAGUGGCUGGUGGCAGUAAGAGACCCUUCUUUCCAUAUAAACUCUAAAGUUACUUGUCUGCAUCUGUAAAACAGCUACAUUUUCGUUGUGUUGCAAUAAAUCCAUCAGUCAAUUUAA